CAUUACUUUAUCAUAAUGCCUGUAAAAUGUUUGACUUGAAUACCAGAAUUCACUGAUUGAGAACAAGGAAGAUGGAAGAGUACCAUCAUCUACCAAUGGAGGUGGAGGAGGAGAAAAAUGGGGGAGCACCAGCAUCCAAAAGUGUCCCACAAUCAGCCCCAGGAGGAGAUCUCAGCAGUGGAAAGAAAGACUAUUAACCAAAACAAUAGGAACGCCAACAUCCACUGAUGGAGGAGAAGAAAGAUGGAGGACGGGAGUGCCAGCAUCUACCAAUGGAGGAGAAGAAAUACUUUUAUUAACCAAAACAAUCAUCCACUGAUGGAGGAGAAGAAAGAUGGAGGACAGGAGUACACAAACAUCAGCACAAGACGGAGAUGAAGAAAGACUUCUAUCAAUCAACCAAAAACAAUGUAAGCAAAGCCUCUCGUUUGAACACACAUUUAAUAUAAAAAC
rnacentral:lncRNA from 1 species